UUAGGCAGCGCCUGCCCCGUCCUUGAAGAAACAGGGACGGCGGCGCUGGGGCAGAUGUUGGCUCCGGCCACCAUGCCGAAGUGGCUGGUACUAACUUUAGGCAGCAGCCGGCAGAGUGUGCUGUGAACGCUGCAAAAAAGACACCCCACUUCUGGGAAUUUUUUAAAUAUACGUACAUAUGUAUAUAUAUUUAAACGCGGAUGAAGACAUCUUAAGUGGUUCAAAUAUCUGCAUGAGCAGUUGGUAGUUCCUCCUGUCAAUUACAAUACUGGUCUCGUCACAGAUCACAGAACCUCCUCCUUAAAAAUUAAUAGCCGAGUCAUACUAAACUGCCUGCUUCCAGCAAGAUAGCUUUUCAGUGUUUGUGCAAAGUUGGAAAGUCGCCACAAUGAACGUGUCCGGACACCUUUCACGGUCACAGAGAAGGGUCUGCAGCACGAGGUGUUUAAUAGAUGAAAAUUCAAAUUGUAAUCCUGGCCUACCGGAAGCAGCUUACGAAAUGGAGCAGCAUGAGCAUACAUUUCUGCAGCCUCAUUACGCUCUCCUUUGGACUUACCGACGGUAGAGUUACAGAGAAAUUAAUAAAUGCGUUAGAAGUAAGUAAAAUAGAAAUAGUUUUAAGCAAAAUGUUUACUACGUGGCUUGGAAAGUUUCUGCUUGAAAAGUAAACACAACUUAUCUG